UUGAUAUAAACACCACAUCGUGAAUUACUAGAUCACUCGCUAAAGCAUUCAGAUUAAUAAUACGGGACUAAAAUAGGAAUAUGAUAAUAAAUCAAGUACCCAAAUUGCUAUUUUUUUCCUGCAUAACCAUAGAAAAUUGCAUUCGUGUUCUCCAGUUUCAAAUUUUUGUUGAUCCUUUAUCGCUCUUCUCUGUGUAAAGGCCGUCUGGUUCCGUGCAAAUUUGCCCGUUUUCUCCCAUUUCUGGCAAGGGCAAUGGAGUUAGCAACUUUGGACAAGCUACCUCGAAGGACAACUUGGGAAGUUCCUUCAGGAAUGGAGUUUAGGACCACAGCAACAGCUAAGCUACUUCCAUCUACCACCUUCACUUUCAACUGAGGAUGCCUCCUUAGGGCAAGAAGUUUUGACUCACGAGGGGGUAUACAUGAAGUACUUGAGAGGGGGAAAGACAGAGAACAUCCACUUAGGAAUUAGCUCAAAGUUGCAAUGGCCCAUGAGGUUCAUGAAAUCAAUAUAGAUGAUAUAAGCACCAAUUGAAGCUAUAGAAGCAGUCCCGGUGAAUAAUGUUGUGAAUACAGGAUUGAUCAGAUCUAAUUAAUCAAAGUGAUGGAAAACAAUUUUGAAGACAAAUUACCACUGAUUGGCUCAGUAACAAUGGAGGAGUGGUGAUGCGAAUGGUAUCGAGAAUAGAGAAAAUGAUGAUGCAGAGCUCUGUGUAGCCAAUAAUAGAGGAACUCUACAGGACCAAUAUGAAGCAAGGCUGUUAUAACGAUCCCAUCGGUCCUCCACAUAGGAAUGUGAUGAGCUUGUUCCAGAAUCAGAUCCCUUGUAUCUACAAAAAGUGAAAAAUGAAGGUACAUACCAGUUGCUUUCUCUGUCAACUUGAUCAAAUUCGAUGCUUUUAUCAAGAAUUCGAUUAUUCCCCUUUGCAGUCCUGUAGCGGGAUAAAGAUAUCCAUGUCUGGUAGUGAACCAUUCUGAAGAGAGUUAAUGGGAGUAGGAGUAUGUUGAACAUGUCCCUCUCACUUUCAUCUUUGCUCAUGAAGAAUGUGUAUAUGCUGUGACACGCAAAUGGUGCCAAUACCAAGUACUUCAUCAUCCCAACAAAUCAUUUUUGAAAAAUAAAAAAAUGUUAGCACAAGUGACGUUGUAAUAUGUACGCGGUACGUUUAUUAUAGAGUUGCAUUAAGCUAACUAGUUAUAUCUUUUUGCCAUAAAUGAUAGUAGAAAAGAAUAUAUGUGGAUUCUGAUAAUUGUUAGUGUGUACCAUUACUAGAGUAAUCAUAUUGGAUCCAUGAUCUUUAAGUUUAUGGAUUCUGAUAUUUGUUAAUGUACAUAUUUACUGGAUUUCUUAAUAAAUAUACUAAGUUUGGAUCAAA